CCUCCUUUUCUUGGCAGGGCUGGGCAGAUGAGUGCCCCGCUCUGUAAUGUCCGGAGGUAAAGCCAAGCCCACUCAGCGUUCUGUCUUCGGUGCCAGCUGCUUGCCAUCUGCUGGUUCUAUCCUCAAGCGCUGGGACACCC
ensembl:snoRNA